rnacentral:misc_RNA from 1 species
GAUGAAGAACGCAGCGAAAUGCGAUACUUGGUGUGAAUUGCAGAAUCCCGUGAACCAUCGAGUCUUUGAACGCAAGUUGCGCCCGAAGCCAUUAGGCCGAGGGCACGCCUGCCUGGGCGUCACACGUCGUUGCCCCCCCAUCUACUCCUUCGGGAUUGCGGGGGGCGGAUGAUGGCCUCCCGUGCGCCUCGUCGCGCGGUUGGCAUAAAUACCAAGUCCUCGGCGACGCACGCCACGACAAUCGGUGGUUGCGAAACCUCGGUUGCCAGUCGUGUGCGGUCGUCGCGCAUCGAGGGCUCGAAAAAAUUGCCGGGCUCCGGCUCGGCUUUCAACGCGACCCCAGGUCAGGCGGGGUUACCCGCUGAAUUUAAGCAUAUCAAUAGCGGAGGA